UCAAAGUAUAGCUUAAAUUAAAGCAUCUUGCUUACACCAAGAAAAUUCUAGUUAAAAUCUAGCUUCUUUGA
rnacentral:tRNA from 1 species